UACGUACUGUGCGAACGUUAUUCGGAAUCACUGGGCGUAAAGGGUGCGUAGGCGGCCAAUUAAGUAGGGUGUGAAAGGUUACGGCUCAACCGUGACAUUGCGCUCUAGACUGCUUGGCUCGAGUGAGAUAGGGGUGUGCGGAACUUCCAGUGGAGCGGUGAAAUGUGUUGAUAUUGGAAGGAACGCCGGUGGCGAAAGCGGCACACUGGGUCUUAACUGACGCUGAGGCACGAAAGCCAGGGGAGCGAACGGG
rnacentral:rRNA from 1 species